UACGGAGGGUGCAAGCGUUAUUCGGAAUCACUGGGCGUAAAGGGUGCGUAGGCGGUUUGGAAAGUCAGAUGUGAAAGCCUACAGCUUAACUGUAGAACUGCAUUUGAAACUUCCAGACUAGAAUACUGAAGGGGCAGAUGGAAUUAGUGGUGUAGGGGUAAAAUCCGUAGAUAUCACUAGGAAUACCUAAAGCGAAAGCGAUCUGCUGGGAAGUUAUUGACGCUGAGGCACGAAAGCGUGGGGAGCAAACAGG
rnacentral:rRNA from 1 species